UACGGGGGGAGCAAGCGUUGUUCGGAUUUACUGGGCGUAAAGGGCGCGUAGGCGGUCAGCACAAGUCAGUUGUGAAAUCUCCGGGCUUAACUCGGAAAGGUCAACUGAUACUGUGCGACUAGAGUGCGGAAGGGGCAACUGGAAUUCCUGGUGUAGCGGUGAAAUGCGCAGAUAUCAGGAGGAACACCGGUGGCGAAGGCGGGUCUCUGGGCCGAUACUGACGCUGAGGAGCGAAAGCGUGGGGAGCAAACAGG
rnacentral:rRNA from 1 species